AUUGAACGCUGGCGGCAUGCCUUACACAUGCAAGUCGAACGGCAGCACGGGGCAACCUGGUGGCGAGUGGCGAACGGGUGAGUAAUGCAUCGGAACGUACCUUUCAGUGGGGGAUAACGUAGCGAAAGUUACGCUAAUACCGCAUAUUCUGUGAGCAGGAAAUCCGGGGAGCGCAAUACCCUGCGCUUAUUGAGCGGCCGAUGUCAGAUUAGCUAGUUGGUGAGGUAAAGGCUCACCAAGGCGACGAUCUGUAGCGGGUCUGAGAGGAUGAUCCGCCACACUGGAACUGAGACACGGUCCAGACUCCUACGGGAGGCAGCAGUGGGGAAUUUUGGACAAUGGGGGCAACCCUGAUCCAGCCAUGCCGCGUGAGUGAAGAAGGCCUUCGGGUUGUAAAGCUCUUUCGGCCGGGAAGAAAUCGCACGGGCUAAUACCCUGUGUGGAUGACGGUACCGGAAUAAGAAGCACCGGCUAACUACGUGCCAGCAGCCGCCGUAACAC
rnacentral:rRNA from 1 species